rnacentral:misc_RNA from 1 species
GAUGAAGAACGUAGCGAAAUGCGAUAAGUAAUGUGAAUUGCAGAAUUCAGUGAAUCAUCGAAUCUUUGAACGCACAUUGCGCCCAUUAGUAUUCUAGUGGGCAUGCCUGUUCGAGCGUCAUUUCAACCCUUAAGCCUAGCUUAGUAUUGGGAAUCGACUUUACUGUCGUUCCUCAAAUUCAACGGCGGAUUUAUAGCAAUCUCUGAACGUAGUAAUUUUUUUCCUCGUUUUUGAAAUACUAUAAACCUCAGCCGCUAAACCCCCAAUUUUUUUAUGGUUGACCUCGGAUCAGGUAGGAAUACCCGCUGAACUUAAGCAUAUCAGCGGAGGA